rnacentral:piRNA from 1 species
GACCCCAGCACCCUCCAGUGCAGUCCUAUGAC